CACUGACGUCGCGACGCAUAUCAAUAAGCGGAGGAAAAGAAACUAACAAGGAUUCCCUUAGUAACGGCGAGUGAAGCGGGAAGAGCUCAAAUUUGAAAUCUUCAAGGUUCUACCUUGACGAAUUGUAGUUUAAAGAAGUGUUUUCUGUUAGAUGAGUAGGCAAAAGUUCCUUGGAAUAGGACAUCAUAGAGGGUGAGAAUCCCGUAUUUGACCAUUACUUUCAGCUGUGUGAUACACUUUCAAAGAGUCGGAUUGUUUGGGAAUGCAGCCCAAAAUGGGUGGUAAAUUUCAUCUAAAGCUAAAUAUUGGCGAGAGACCGAUAGCGAACAAGUACCGUGAGGGAAAGAUGAAAAGAACUUUGAAAAGAGAGUUAAACAGUACGUGAAAUUGUCAAAAGGGAAGCGUUUGACACCAGUGUUGUUUUUCCGAAAAUCAAUUAUAGAUGUUUUGUUUCUGAGGAGUGAUGACUUCAUCGGCUUCCUUCUCUCUUCACGAAACUUUUGUAAUGCACUUUUCGGUUAACAAGUCAACAUCAAUUUCUUUUGUUAGUAAAAGAGUAUUCGGAAGGUGGCUUUCUUUUCGGAGAAAGUGUUUAUAGCCCUACUACUUCUACAAUCGGAGAGAUUGAGGUCUGCAGCGUAGAUCCUUCGGGGUUAGAUACAUUUGUGCUAAGUUAUAGCCUUUCAUAGACAACUUGUUGACUAUGUUUAGUCAUGUCGCUUACUCGCUUAGUGCUAUUUUACCUACGCUUAGGAUGUUGAGUCGUAGAGCACGCAG
rnacentral:rRNA from 1 species